rnacentral:rRNA from 1 species
UACGUAGGGUGCGAGCGUUAAUCGGAAUUACUGGGCGUAAAGCGUGUGUAGGCGGACUUCUAAGUACCUUGUGAAAUCCCACGGCUCAACCGUGGAACUGCUUGGUAUACUGGUUCUCUUGAGCCACCUAGGGGCAACCGGAACAAACGGUGGAGCGGUGAAAUGCGUAGAUAUCGGAAGGAACACCUGUGGCGAAAGCGGCUCACUGGACCAUAACUGACGCUGAGGCGCGAAAGCUAGGGGAGCAAACAGG